rnacentral:rRNA from 1 species
UACGUAGGGGGCAAGCGUUUGUCCGGAUUUAUUGGGCGUAAAGAGCGUGUAGGCGGCCAAACAGGUCCGUUGUGAAAACUGGGAGGCUCAACUUCCAGACGUCGACGGAAACCGUGUGGCUAGAGUCCGGAAGAGGAGAGUGGAAUUCCCAGUGUAGCGGUGAAAUGCGUAGAUAUUGGGAGGAACACCAGUGGCGAAGGCGGCUCGCUGGACCGGAACUGACGCUGAGGAGCGAAAGCGUGGGGAGCGAACAGG